CGCAUUUCAGCCUCGCCUUCGUGACCAUGUGAAUUGACCUUGAAGUCGCCUUCGUGGGGUCUAUCGCUUCAACGCAAGAGAGGCGAGAAAACAGCGCUCACAAAGGUGACCCCAGUUGGUUGCGCUUUUCCUGUGAGCAGCGGAACGUACGACAAAGACGGAACCCACGCCGAACACUCAAGGAACUUAAGAUCGAAGUGCUGCAAGGAGCCGGAGUCUUGUACCCGUGGCACGACAGGCGCCUGGAAUGGUGCGAGUUCUGGAAUAUGCAUUGUUCGGCGUCCUGGUGGCGGCCAACAUCUGCGUCGGCCUCUACUUCUCCUUCCGAAAGGCCGAACUUAGGCGUGGAGGCGCUCCGACGACGGCAGAAGUGUUCUUGGGAAGCCGGAUGCUCAAGACCCUCCCACUGGCCGCCUCGUCCGUAGUCUCUCUAUUCUCAUCAACUGGCCUUGUCGGCUACUCGGGCCACUACUAUGCCUACGGAUGGCACAUGAUGUGGUCCUACCUGACUCCCUUGGUGUUCAUUCCACUGGGCACGCACAUGUUCGUCCCUGUGCUUUACCGCCUUCGCAUCACGUCCAUA